rnacentral:piRNA from 1 species
CUGGGCAGCUGGUGAUCGUUGGUCCCGG